UUUUGAUUAUAAUUUAAAGUCUAACCUGCCCUAUGAUUUAUUAUUAAAUGGCUGCGAUAUUUUGAUCGUGCAAAGGUAGCAUAAUAAUUAGUUUUUUAAUUGGGAACUGGUAUGAAUGGUUGAACGAGAAAAAAACUGUCUCAAUUUAAUUUAAAUUAGAAUUUUAUUUUUAAGUUAAAAAGCUUAAAUAUUUUUAAAAGACGAGAAGACCCUAUAGAGUUUUAUAUAAUUUAUUAUUUUAAAAAAUUUUAGAAUUUUGAGAUUUAAUUAUAAUAAUUUGUAUUUAAUUGGGGUGAUUAAAAAAUUUAAAUAACUUUUUUUAAAUUUAAACAUAGAUUUAUGAAUAGAUGAUCC
rnacentral:rRNA from 1 species